AGGAGUUUGAUCAUGGCUCAGGAUGAACGCUGGCGGCAUGCCUAAUACAUGCAAGUCGAACGGAAUCUUAUAUGUUCCUCGUUUCGGAUUUAGUUCCGAGUUGGGGAACAAUAAGAUUUAGUGGCGGACGGGUGAGUAACACGUUGGUACCUACCCUCUAGUGGGGAAUAACUUCGAGAAAUCGAGGCUAAUACCGCAUAAUAUCUACGGAUUAAAGCAUUUAUGCGCUAGAGGAGGGGCCUGCGUCUGAUUAGCUUGUUGGUGAGGUAAAAAGCUCACCAAGGCGACGAUCAGUAGCUGGAUCGAGAGGUUGACCAGCCACACUGGGACUGAGAUACGGCCCAGACUCCUACGGGAGGCAGCAGUAAGGAAUCUUCCACAAUGGGCGAAAGCCUGAUGGAGCAAUGCCGCGUGCAGGAUGACGGCCUUCGGGUUGUAAACUGCUUUUAUAUAGGAAGAUUAUGACGGUACCAUAUGAAUAAGGACCGGCUAACUACGUG
rnacentral:rRNA from 1 species